GACAUAGGUCGCAAACGUUGUCCGGAAUUAUUGGGCGUAAAGGGUGCGUAGGUGGUUCAGUAAGUUACUGGUGGGAAAUCGAGGCUCAACCUCGUGGAAGUCAGUAAUACUGUUGAACUUGAGUGCAGGAGAGGUUAACGGAACUUUAUGUGGAGCGGUAAAAUGCGUAGAUAUAUGAAAGAACAUCAAUAUGGCGAAGGCAGUUAACUAUUCUGUUACUGACGUUGAGGCAUGAAAGCGUGGGGAGCAAAACGG
rnacentral:rRNA from 1 species